rnacentral:rRNA from 1 species
AGAGUUUGAUCAUGGCUCAGGACGAACGCUGGCGGCAUGCCUAAUACAUGCAAGUCGAGCGGACUUGAAGAGAAGCUUGCUUCUCUGAUGGUUAGCGGCGGACGGGUGAGUAACACGUAGGCAACCUGCCCUCAAGUUUGGGACAACUACCGGAAACGGUAGCUAAUACCGAAUACUUGUUUUCUUCGCCUGAAGGAAACUGGAAAGACGGAGUAAUCUGUCACUUGGGGAUGGGCCUGCGGCGCAUUAGCUAGUUGGUGGGGUAACGGCUCACCAAGGCGACGAUGCGUAGCCGACCUGAGAGGGUGAUCGGCCACACUGGGACUGAGACACGGCCCAGACUCCUACGGGAGGCAGCAGUAGGGAAUCUUCCGCAAUGGGCGAAAGCCUGACGGAGCAAUGCCGCGUGAGUGAUGAAGGUUUUCGGAUCGUAAAGCUCUGUUGCCAGGGAAGAACGCUUGGGAGAGUAACUGCUCUCAAGGUGACGGUACCUGAGAAGAAAGCCCCGGCUAACUACGUGCCAGCAGCCGCGGUAAUACGUAGGGGGCAAGCGUUGUCCGGAAUUAUUGGGCGUAAAGCGCGCGCAGGCGGUCAUUUAAGUCUGGUGUUUAAUCCCGGGGCUCAACCCCGGAUCGCACUGGAAACUGGGUGACUUGAGUGCAGAAGAGGAGAGUGGAAUUCCACGUGUAGCGGUGAAAUGCGUAGAUAUGUGGAGGAAUACCAGUGGCGAAGGCGACUCUCUGGGCUGUAACUGACGCUGAGGCGCGAAAGCGUGGGGAGCAAACAGGAUUAGAUACCCUAGUAGUCC